UACGAAGGGGCUAGCGUUGCUCGGAAUGACUGGGCGUAAAGGGCGCGUAGGCGGUUUGUACAGUCAGAUGUGAAAUUCCCGGGCUCAACCUGGGGCUGCAUUUGUGACUGUAGAGCUGGAGUGCGGCAGAGGGGGAUGGAAUUCCGCGUGUAGCAAGUGAAAUGCGUAGAUAUGCGGAGGAACACCGAUGGCGAAGGCAAUCCCUGGGCUGCACUGACGCUCAUGCACGAAAGCGUGGGGAGCGAAA
rnacentral:rRNA from 1 species